UACGUAGGGUGCAAGCGUUAAUCGGAAUUACUGGGCGUAAAGCGUGCGCAGGCGGUUAUGUAAGACAGGUGUGAAAUCCCAGGGCUUAACCUUGGAACUGCAUUUGUGACUGCAUAGCUAGAGUACGGUAGAGGGGGAUGGAAUUCCGCGUGUAGCAGUGAAAUGCGUAGAUAUGCGGAGGAACACCGAUGGCGAAGGCAAUCCCCUGGACCUGUACUGACGCUGAGGCGCGAAAGCGUGGGGAGCAAACAGG
rnacentral:rRNA from 1 species